rnacentral:lncRNA from 1 species
AUGUGUUUAGAUACAUAAUUGAUACUCAUUCUCAUACAAACUCCUUCUUAUCUUUUUCAGACUGGUAAAAAACUGUUCCUGGCCCAGUUCUGACACAUGGACAACUGGAAUAGCUUUGCUGAAGCUUAAAAAUGAGGGUAUUGUUCUUGUCUGCCAGAUACAGGACAAUUCAUCUCUUUCCCUAUGCCCAGGAAGAGGCAUGAAGCAGAAAAGAGCUAUACAGGCCUUUCUUCCUUUGAAGGAGAGGCUGUUGCUGGCUCUGGGCUGCUGCUGCAUUUGAUCAAGGCUUUUCUGCAUCACAUCUCAUGCCAGGUUGUGUGCGCAUUUGCCCUAUCACGGCAUAAGAUUGGUGUUUCUUAAGAGGCUGUUGCUAUAGCAUUUGGACGACGUGAUUAGACAACACUAAGGUAAUCAUUUCAAAACUGGAGGCUGUCUGGCAUUAUCAGCCACAUCUCAACAGGAAGGAAAUUACCAAAAAUUAGUUUGGUCUCUUCUGAGUUCUUAUGAAGGAGAGUUCUCCUUUGACCCUAUUUAGCUAUGUAUAUUUCUUCCACCAUUAUUUUAGAAAAAUAAAAAUAUUAGAAAUAAUGUGUUUCUGUUCUGUUCCAAAUUGAGUCACAAUUUGUAACUUGUCCAGUUAAGAUAAAUGGACAAAACUAUCAUUUCAUCCUUGUCUAAAGAGCUAAUCAGGUACAUGACAUAAAGGAAUCGACUGUCUCUGCUAAAGAAGUGAAAUAUUGGAGGAGAUAAU